UACGAAGGGGGCUAGCGUUGUUCGGAAUUACUGGGCGUAAAGCGCGCGCAGGCGGUCUUCCAAGUCAGUGGUGAAAGCCCGGAGCUCAACUCCGGAACUGCCAUUGAAACUGUUAGACUUGAGGAUGAGAGAGGUGAGUGGAAUUCCCAGUGUAGAGGUGAAAUUCGUAGAUAUUCGGAAGAACACCAGUGGCGAAGGCGACACACUGGGCCAUUACUGACGCUGAGGCGCGAAAGCGUGGGGAGCGAACGGG
rnacentral:rRNA from 1 species